GACGAACGCUGGCGGCGUGCUUAACACAUGCAAGUCGAACGAAGAGCGAUGGAAGCUUGCUUCUAUCACUCUUAGUGGCGAACGGGUGAGUAACGCGUAAUCAACCUGCCCUUCAGAGGGGGACAACAGUUGGAAACGACUGCUAAUACCGCAUACGAUCUAACCUCGGCAUCGAGGAUAGAUGAAAGGUGGCCUCUACAUGUAAGCUAUCACUGAAGGAGGGGAUUGCGUCUGAUUAGCUAGUUGGAGGGGUAACGGCCCACCAAGGCGAUGAUCAGUAGCCGGUCUGAGAGGAUGAACGGCCACAUUGGGACUGAGACACGGCCCAGACUCCUACGGGAGGCAGCAGUGGGGAAUCUUCCGCAAUAGACGAAAGUCUGACGGAGCAACGCCGCGUGAGUGAUGACGGCCUUCGGGUUGUAAAGCUCUGUUAAUCGGGACGAAAGGCCUUCUUGCGAAUAGUGAGAAGGAUUGACGGUACCGGAAUAGAAAGCCACGGCUAACUACGUG
rnacentral:rRNA from 1 species